CGGAAGAGGGGAGCAGACGCUCGCCUGAGGUUCGCCCAGUCCUGGAGCGCUGACUCAGAAAUUGGAAUGAGUUGUCUGUGGAUCCUGUAAGGAGCCUGGACGUGGUGAAGAGAAUGCCUUGACCAUCAGGAGACGGCUUAGCUUGUUGAAUCUUGAUCACUUCUUCUGACCGCUUUGGAUCUUAAAAGAACAAGGGAUGAUGGUGACUUCUGGUGACAACCAAGAACAGGCUUCAGAAAGAAAGCAGCUGUGUAGCUAUGGCCAAACUGAACUUCUUGAGUCAGUGUCCUCGCUUGUAAAAUGGACAAUUCUACUGAAGGAAAUUGAAGGUCUUACCGACUCCAUCCAAGGAAUUGACAAGAGAUCCGCAAGAAGGUUGCAUAGAGUGAGUGAGAACACUGUCUUGAACUGCUGGGACAUCUGCCUAAGAAUGAAACCCAAGAACAGAGGAAAGCAGACCUAGGAGAAGGAGGGAAAGACAACGUCCCAAUAAUAGCAUUCAAGCUUCUGGAUCCAACCAUGUCUGCUGCCGGACAUUAGUCCUGGUACUUCUUGUUACAUGAUCCAGUGAAUGGCUCCUCG
rnacentral:lncRNA from 1 species